rnacentral:miRNA from 1 species
UGCUGAACCAUCUCUCUAGCCCGGGAAACAUUUUUAAAAACUGUAUAAGUCGGACUGGAGAGAUGGCUUAGCAGU